AGACAUUAAUCUUAAGUAUCCAGGGAGCCCUAAAACAUUGUAUCCCACUAGCAAGGACCAUGGUAAUUGCCACGUAAAUCCCCUCCAUUAUGUGGCCCUUAUUAUGACCAGCCAGCCAAGGCUUGCCUUUAAAUCAUACCAAUUGAACCGAGCCUUGUAGAAACACUAUCACCUACGCAUACCUCUGCUUCUUUUCAUUAACCUGCUAUCCUCUUUACAAAUGGGAUUCUUCACCCACUCCCUUCUUCUAGAUUAGCAAUGCCCUGUUAAGUAAACGAACACGAAAUUCAAAGGGAAACAGGAGCAAUCAUCAUUACCAGCUGCCGUGUUAAGCAUUGCGAAAACGCUCACGAUUCACAGAAAAAUCCAUGCUGUUCUUUGAAGGCAUUCAAGCCUUAAUAGCUAGCUGGAUGAAUGUUUAACUUCUAGGCCAGGCACUACUCUGUCCCAACAAUAAGCCCUGUACAUUGGGAAAGGUGCCGAGACAUGAACUUUGGUCUUCUCUGCAAUCCAUCUGGAGCAUUCACUGACAACAUCGACUUUGAAGUUGCACUGACCUGGCCAGCCCUGCCACUUACCAGGUUGGGCUGUGGCUUGCCUUUUCACUUCUUGUGUCCUGUUUAAGAAAUAUCUGCUAUCCCAAGCAUCUGGCAUCUUUCUUGACAUAUGUAGCAGUUGCUUUUUGACAGCUUGCUUCUUCAGUGAAUGAAUAAAUUAAUAAAGAGAAAUGUGAUGUUCAGUGAUCCAUUUUGCAGAUAACACUAACAAAGUUGACCUUAGAAUUGGAGUGCCUGGGUUAGAACCCUGCUGGUACCACCUGCUUACUGCAUGCUUCUGAUGUGAGUUCAGGAGAAGACACUGGCAAGGACAGCAAAGAACAGGAGAACACUCUAGCUUCCCUGAUAGCAUUCAAGGUGCUGUCCAAACUGACUGUGAUGGCACCCUCCAGACAGACAGCGAUGCCACAUGUUCAAGAUGGCAGAAUCACUAUCAGCUUCAAUUCCUGAAUGACUGCAGAGCAAAAUUUCUUACCUGCAACAUACACUCUAUUUUCAGCCUCCCUGGACUGUUACAUAAUGAUACAUAAAAAUAUUUCUUGUGUUGAGGCAUCCCAAAUUUGAUUUAUUUGUCAUCACAGUCUAUCCUAUGAAUAUAUUUCUGAUCCAAAUAAUGCUAGAUUCAUGAGAGUUUAUAGUCCAGAGAUUUUUUUUUUUUUUUUGAGACAGAAUCUGUCUCCCAGGCUGGGGUGCAGUGGCAUAAUCUUAGCUCACUGCAACCUCUGCCUCCCGGGCUCAAGUGAUCCUCCCUCCUUAGCCUCCAUGAGUAGCUGGGACCACAGGUGUGCACCACCACACCCCGCUAAUUAUUUUGUAUUUUUUGCAGAGGGGGGUUUCACCACAUUGCCCAAGCUGGUCUCAAACUCCUAGACUUAAGGGAUCUGCCUGCCUUGGCCUCCCAAAAUGCUGAAAUUACACUUGUUAGCCAUAGUAAUAGUUCCUAGCCAUAGUCCGGAGAUAUUUUAAAAACUUUAGUGUGAGUUAUUUCUCUUUGCUAUAAUUCUCUCAUGCAUUUUGAAAACCUUUUCUGCCAUACAGUGGUUUUUGGGAAGUCCUUUUGGACAGACAUAUCACAGGAUGGAGAAACUAAAAAGAGAGAAUGCAUUAAAGAAAAAAUAGUACUUCGUAUUUCAGAAAUUACAAAAGGGUGUCAUGCCCCACAGCAUGGUGGGCAGUCAUUUGUAACCCACAGAACAUUGAGUUUCUAAAAUUUGAGUGUUUUUAACUUACGAAGGCCAACUUUACUGAUGAAGUGAUUACCCCAAAUAUGUGAAAUCCAUAUUUCAAGUACAAUAGUAGGAAAUUGGAAAUGGGCUCUUGAGUUUCUGCUUUCAAGUGACCCUCAGAAAUUCCUCCAUUCACUGCAGAGGUUCUGUUUCUCCUUGCUUUGUUCUGACUUUACGGCAGAACUAAGCUAAUGAGUUAGUUACUAUGGGUUAUCACUUGGAUUUGAAGAACCAUCAUUUCUAGGCAUUGCUGCUCAGAGUGGGUCUGCCCUCAGGGGAAGCUGUCUAACCAGAGCCUAACCCACUAGGGUUUUAUCAGAACCUAACUGACCUGAGGAAAAGAAAUACUCAACUCCAGCAAGCUCCAGCCUUCCAAAUGGAGGAGGAGAAAACCCAACUCCAGCCCACUUCAGCUAUCUUGUCCCACAUAAAGGGGAAGUGGAAGAAACCUGAGAAGCAGGCAUGAAGUUCACAGUCCAGAGGUAUACAAGCCACGCUGAACAUCUGAAAAUCAAUUCAUGUGAUCCAUCACAUUAGCAGACUCAAGAAAAAAAACCACAUUAUCAUAUCAGUAGAUGUAGAAAAAAAAAAUUAACAAAAUCCAGCACCCAUUCACAAUGAAAAUGCCCAGUAAAUUAGAAAUAGAAGGUAACUUCCUCAAAUUGAUAAGGAAUAUCUCUAAAAACCUACAACUAAAAUCAUACUUAAUGGUAGAAAACUAGAAGCCUUCCCAGUAAGAGUAAGAACAAGUCAAAGAUGUAUGCUCUCACCAAUGCUUUUCAACAUCAUAUUGGAAGUCCUAGCUAGUGCAAUAAGCAAAAAAAAAAAAAAAGUUAUAUUAAUAAGAACAAAAACUGUGUUUGUUUGCAGAUGACAUGAUUUUCUAUGCAAAAAAUUCAAAAUAAUCAACAACAAAAAAAUCCUGAAACUAAUAAAUGAUUAUAGCAAGAUUUCAGGAUAUGAGAUUUAUAUACAAAGGUCAAUUACUUUCAUAUAUACAAGCAAUGAACAAGAGGGAUUUGAAAUUAAAAACGAAACUAUUUACAUUAGUACCCCCAAAAUGAAAUCCUUAUGUAUAAACUUAACAAAAUAUGUACAAGAUACAUAUGAGAAAAA
rnacentral:lncRNA from 1 species